rnacentral:rRNA from 2 species
GGGACACGUGGUAUCCUGUCUGAAUAUGGGGGGACCAUCCUCCAAGGCUAAAUACUCCUGACUGACCGAUAGUGAACCAGUACCGUGAGGGAAAGGCGAAAAGAACCCCGGCGAGGGGAGUGAAAAAGAACCUGAAACCGUGUACGUACAAGCAGUGGGAGCACGCUUAGGCGUGUGACUGCGUACCUUUUGUAUAAUGGGUCAGCGACUUAUAUUCUGUAGCAAGGUUAACCGAAUAGGGGAGCCGAAGGGAAACCGAGUCUUAACUGGGCGUUAAGUUGCAGGGUAUAGACCCGAAACCCGGUGAUCUAGCCAUGGGCAGGUUGAAGGUUGGGUAACACUAACUGGAGGACCGAACCGACUAAUGUUGAAAAAUUAGCGGAUGACUUGUGGCUGGGGGUGAAAGGCCAAUCAAACCGGGAGAUAGCUGGUUCUCCCCGAAAGCUAUUUAGGUAGCGCCUCGUGAAUUCAUCUCCGGGGGUAGAGCACUGUUUCGGCAAGGGGGUCAUCCCGACUUACCAACCCGAUGCAAACUGCGAAUACCGGAGAAUGUUAUCACGGGAGACACACGGCGGGUGCUAACGUCCGUCGUGAAGAG